AACGAACGCUGGCGGCAUGCCUAACACAUGCAAGUCGAACGAUGCUUUCGGGCAUAGUGGCGCACGGGUGCGUAACGCGUGGGAAUCUGCCCUUGGGUUCGGAAUAACAGUGAGAAGUUGCUGCUAAUACCGGAUGAUGUCUUCGGACCAAAGAUUUAUCGCCCAGGGAUGAGCCCGCGUAGGAUUAGCUAGUUGGUGGGGUAAUGGCCUACCAAGGCGACGAUCCUUAGCUGGUCUGAGAGGAUGAUCAGCCACACUGGGACUGAGACACGGCCCAGACUCCUACGGGAGGCAGCAGUGGGGAAUAUUGGACAAUGGGCGCAAGCCUGAUCCAGCAAUGCCGCGUGAGUGAUGAAGGCCUUAGGGUUGUAAAGCUCUUUUACCCGGGAUGAUAAUGACAGUACCGGGAGAAUAAGCUCCGGCUAACUCCGUG
rnacentral:rRNA from 1 species